rnacentral:rRNA from 1 species
UACGGAGGGUGCAAGCGUUAUCCGGAUUCACUGGGUUUAAAGGGUGCGUAGGCGGAUAGGUAAGUCCGUGGUGAAAUCCUGCAGCUUAACUGCAGAACUGCCAUGGAUACUAUUUAUCUUGAAUGUCGUGGAGGUUAGCAGAAUAUGUCAUGUAGCGGUGAAAUGCUUAGAUAUGACAUAGAAUACCCAUUGCGAAGGCAGCCUCCUGGGCCAACACUGACGCUCAUGCACGAAAGCGUGGGGAGCAAACAGG